rnacentral:lncRNA from 1 species
AAAUUUUUAAAUUUUAAAAUACUAGAAAAAAAUCUGAAAAAAAAAAUUGAAAAAAGAAAUGUGACUAUAUUAAAAAACAUGGUCAUUGCAUACAUGUAUAAAUAUAAAGUAUACCCUAAAAUAAAUAUUUUGUAAUUUGACUAAGCAUUGCAUAUGAAAUAGAACUACGUAAACAAAGAAAAAUGAAUCGUAUUCUCCUAGUAUAAAGUUGAGAAAUAGAAGAAAAGAAAGACAAAAAAAAAGUGUUUUCUCUUGUAUUAUUUUUCAUUUUUAUAAUCUUAC